UAUUGCCAAUGUUAUUUUAACUGAUCGGGCGGAGCUAACGUUUGAAUUUGCAUAAGGACAGUCUAUUUGAAGAUGUGUGUGAUAAGGAUGAUGACCGUUAUAAUUAUAAUUGAUUUCUAAUCACCUAUCAGUGUCACCAAACGUAGAUACAAAUGAACUGAAUGUAUGAUAUAGGACGAAUAACUGGACUCUUCAUUCAUGAGAUUAACCCGAAGCACCUGUCUAUAGAUGGACGGAUCUUAAAUAAGCGAACCGGUUGAACCCCGCCCAGUCAAGUGAAAUAAAUCAAGUAAUA
rnacentral:lncRNA from 1 species